UACGUAGGGUGCAAGCGUUAAUCGGAAUUACUGGGCGUAAAGCGUGCGCAGGCGGUGAUGUAAGACAGGUGUGAAAUCCCCGGGCUUAACCUGGGAACUGCAUUUGUGACUGCAUCGCUGGAGUGCGGCAGAGGGGGACGGAAUUCCGCGUGUAGCAGUGAAAUGCGUAGAUAUGCGGAGGAACACCGAUGGCGAAGGCAAUCCCCUGGGCCUGCACUGACGCUCAUGCACGAAAGCGUGGGGAGCAAACAGG
rnacentral:rRNA from 1 species